UAACAUCUGAAAGUGAACAUAGCUGAAUCGAAACCGCACCUUCCUCCGGUGCUGUUGCAGACGCUGCAGUUACCCGCAGUCCACGACAGCAAGAACCCUUUUCUCAACGCUUCACCUACCCCUUCUAAUCCAUCUUCCACCACCGUAUCCACCGCCCCACCCUUGCAAUUCUUUGCCACAAAGCUUAUAUUUGUAUCCCUUUUAUCCAAUGCCAAAACUGAACUCGUUUCGUUUUCUGCAGAACACCCAACUCUCUGCUCGUCAAGCGAAGGUGCGUCACAGCCGUAGAACAAUACCACAUCCGUUUGAUUGGGAGCAACACGUAACACGUUAGUAGGAGGAAGAGUGAGAUUCUGAGUUGGAGCAAGACAAGCUUUGGUGGUGUUUGAUUGCAAAGUUGAGAAGGCAGCAUUGGAGACUCGCAGGGAUUGGUUUUGGUAGAAAAUUUGACGAAUGAAGUAUUGGGUGUGAGAGAGAUUGAGGAUAGGGAAGCCAUGUGGAGAACAAGAUAUUGCAAAACCAGGGCUCCCACAAUAAGGCUCUUGUGUUCCUUGGAUGUAAAAAGGAAAGCUUAUAUUUUGGGUGUUGUUGGGGCAGGUUUUGGGUGCACAUGCAGUGAAUUUAGGGUCGAUUUGAGAGGAAGUGAUUUGGGCAAGGAGGUGGAAGAUGAUGAUGCAGGAAUGGGUGAUGGGAGAAGAGAGGAUAAAAAAAUGGGUGUUUUGGUUGAUCAUGUUGGAGGGUUUUGUUUGUAGUUGUGGAUGGAGAUGAUUGAAGAUUGGUUAUACGAAAAAGUUUGAACAGCGAGGAUAAUGGCGGCCAAAGGCUAAGGGGUUUGACCAUGAAAGUUGGAAUUGGGAGUGGAUGCUUCUGACAUCUUUGAGUGAAAAGGAAUUGUCUAGUUGUCUCUUCGUCUUAUCUCUGAAUUCAUCGUCUAUCUCUCCACAUACAAAAAUGACCAAUUUCAGAAAAAGGGAACAAGUUGAAAAGGUUGACCCCAUUGCCCACUCUCUCACCACUUGUUUAAUUGAUUUCGACUUCGACUUGGCUGUGACGAGAUGGUUGACGUUAGAGAGAGAGUUACAGAGAAAUAUUAAUGCCUUUAAAGUGCUGAAAUGUCUAAGUUGUUCUGCUAAUCUUGACCACAAAAUCUCCUGUCAAAUAAAUUUAUCAAUACAGUACAUAUAAAAUAGAGACCAGACAUAUGGUUUGACACUAAUGUUUUAUACUAAAAUAAGAGUUUUGCUUUUCAUAAUUUACCUUAUUUUUCAUAUAUCUUCUCUUUAUAUUGGGAUUAGGAAAAAAAAAUGAGAUGGUUUAGAUUGUGAUUUGUUAGUGUAGAUUUGUGAAUUUUUUUUAUUGAAUUUUAUGAUUGAUGUGAUGAUUAGAUGAAAGUUUAUGAGUGAUUUAAUAGAUAUAAUAGAUUUAAAGUAAUUAUAAAUAAUUUAAUAUAAAAAUUUUAAAAAUAAAAUAAAUUAAAAAUCAAUAAAUAAUAAUAAUAAUACAUAUUAAUAAUUAAAUUUAAAUUUCUUUUUAUUUAUUAUUUUAAUUAUUUAUUUUAUUAUAAUAUAAAAAUAUAUAUUAAGUAUUAUACUUAUAUUUAUAUUAAAAUAUAAUUUUUAUUUAUAAUUAAUUUAAAAAAAUCAACUUUCUCCACGAAUCUUCACAUCAUUAAAAAAAAGUAAAAACCAUUAUUUUUUUCAUAAUUUUUGAUUUAUUCAUUUCUUUAUCUUUUUCCUCCUAAAAACAAACAGAUUCAUAAAUUUUGCUGGCAACAUGAUUGAUGUGAAAUUUUAAUUUUGAUUAAUUAAUCAUGUUAAAAAUAUUAUCUAAAUUUUAUCCAAUAAAAUAUUAUAUAUAUAUAUAUAUAUGUGUGUGUGUGUGUAUAAUGUGAGAAAUGGAAGUGUUGGAUGAGAUGUUAAUUAAAGGAAAAGGGUGCUAUAACAUAGUGUUAUGUUAAUGAUUCUCUUUUAUGAAUUACCUUUGGUGAUGAGCUCAGAGUGAAGAUUUGCAUUGAAAGUUGAAUAAAUUUUAAAGUUGAAUAAAUUUUUAUAAUUUCCCAAAUUGCCCAACUCAUUAAUAAUCACGGGAUAUUUGAAAUGGUGAUAGUUAUUCAGAUCUGAUUUGUUAAUUUGUGGGUAAUAUUAUAAUAUAUCAUUAGUGUACGGAUAUUAACUCGAGAAAAAUUGAGAAUUCACACUACGCAAAAUUACUCGUUUACAAAACUUUAACUCAUUAAUUACUUGUCACAAGCAGGUAACGUGAUUUAUAUAGAUGGAAUCUUGUGUAAAUUUCUACCUAUUUAAAAUUAUCUUAUUAAGUAUUAACAUCUCAAUUAUAUAUUAAUCAGCAUUUAAAUUUUUAAUAGAAUUAUGAAACAACUAAUAAAAAAAUAAGAAUGAUAUGCAUCUUGACGUCCAACAAGUAAAAACUACCCAAAAAUUGUAUAAAUAAGUUAUACUUAAAAAUACACUAAUUUAUUAUUUUAUAUUAUAUAUAUCUAUAUCUAUCUAUAUAUGUGUGUAUAUAUGUAUUUUUAUAUAUAUAUAUAUAUAUAUAUAUAUAUAUAUAUAUAUAUAUAUAUAUAUAUAUAUAUAUAUAUAUAUAUAUAUAUAUAUAUAUAUAUAUAUACUUCCAUCCAUUCAUAAUAAUUAAAAGAAGGAUAACUAUAAAAUCAUUGAAAAGUAUAAAGAUCUUUGUGGAGAUCCUCUUCAUAAAAAUAAUUAAUUCAUUUUUUGAAGUUUACACCUAGUAUUAUGAUUUCUAGUAGAUAAAAGAUCUCUGAUCUUUUUUAUAAGAAUUUAUAUGUCAUUUAAUUUAUAUUUGGCCUGUGUUCACCAAUUUUAAUUGUGAAUAAAAAUGGAUGUUAUGAUUAAGGAAAAUUGUAUUGGAUUAGCUUUAGUAAUUGUGGGUCAAAUCUAAAGUAUUGUAGCAUUUUAAAUAUGCCUUAGCCUCUUGACCAAAGAAAGUAACUGACCAAUUUAUAAAUUAGGGACAAUGACACACAUUUGACCCAAAACAAUGGAAGACCAAAUGAUACAGAUGCGUAAAAAAGUAAGCGUGUUUCAAUUGAGUACAGUUAGAGGGGUAAAAUUUUGAAGAAAAUAAAAAGAUAUUUUUUUCUAUUUUUCAAAAAUGUUUUUAUUUAAUUUAAAUAAAGAAUUAUAAACAAUAUCAAGUUAUGUUUUCAGCUAUCACAAAAUUGAACGUAACAAUUGCUUGGAUGAUGAAUUAAAGAAAAAGUUUAUUGACUAUUCACAUUCAAAGCAAUCUCUGGUUUCACGGUGAUUAUGGGUUGGGCUUUGCACUAUUCUGUGCGUUGAAGUUGUUUAUUUUCUAAGUAUGAAUUUUGGUUAUUUUGACUUCAAACGAUGCAUGCAGUUUUUGCUCUUGACAAAUGAGCUACAAAAACAGUUUACUUUGAUUAUUAUAAAGUUACAUAUAAUUUAUAAAUAAGUCAAACCGUAUGAGGGUAUGUUUGUUCAAGAUUAGAUGGAUAUCCCUCUACGAAAGUGAUGCACACCAUCAAAAUGGACUCUCUUUCAGAUGGUCUCCCUCACAUGCAUUUCACUUCCAUUUCCACCACACAUUUUCUCUCUUUGUAACUCAACUUUAAAUCUAAAAUUGAUAGGUAUAAACAUCAAGAAAUGUGUUGAAAAUAUCAUAUCACUUAAAAGAUAAAAACAUUUCAUGACAGAUAAAUAGAUAUAGAUCUUAUUUUAUAAAAUGUUCUUACAAGACCUUAUAAACAAUUAAUUUUUUCUUUUUCUCCUCUCGACUUCUCGGUCUCUUGCUGGUUAUUUAGGUUUUUGGUUUUUGGAUCAACUGACAUGGAUUCUUGGUUAUGGGGCUUGAGCUUGCUAUCGACUACUGGAUUUGAACUACCACUCAGUUAUUGGAUUCAGGCUCACUCUCAGUUGAAUGUGUGUACCGGUGUUUCGAUGAUAAAGUCAUAAUUAUUUCUUAAUUAUCAGAUAAAAACACUUUUUUUAUCGAUUAAACAGAUCACCUAUUUAUAAUGUUCAUUGUUGAGCUUUGUCUUGAUUGAACUUUUAUAUUAUUUCACACCUUACCGUUACUAUAUAUAUUAAUGUUUUGAACUAUUUUAUUGAGUCUUAAUACAAUAUCAUCUUAUUUUAUUGUUUAUUUAUAUUAUUUUAACUUUAUUUAUUUUUUAUGCGUUAGCAAUCUUUUAGACUUUUCGACUUCUCUAUUUAACGACUACAUAAACCAUUUUAUAAUGUCAACGUGGAUUUAAAAUUAAUUUCUUAAUACUCCCAAAAUAACUACUUUCACAAAAUCUCCCUUUUUUUUCUGCUUGCAAAAUUACUCUUCUAGCAAUACAACCUGAGCGUAUCAUAACUCUCCUGACUUGGUUUGGUCUACAGGCCCAAUCACCAAUGACCCAAUCAUCAUCACAUUAGCAAUGACCCAAACAAAUUUAAACAAACGUAUGAAAAUGUUCAGCAUUGUAAAUAAAAGUAAAAAAUAUUAAUUAUAUAUAUAUAUCAUUUUAUCCUGUAUAUCAGAAGAGUUUAAAAUUAUUUUUCAUUGUGGAUGCAGUGACCACUUUUAGAAGAGCUACAAAUAUAUUUUUCCAAAUUUUAUAUUACCUCACCUACUUAUCUAGUCCAUUUUUUCAAUGUACUUAAUUACAUAAUUGAAAAAUAUUAUCUCUUUAACUUCUAAUAACAAUAAGAAAAACCUCACCAUAAAUAUUAUAAUAUUUUUUUAUUUAUUAAAUAAUAACAAUGCUUAAAGCAUAAACAUAAAUAAUAAUUCUUAAAAUAGAAGAACGUUAAAAUUGGUAAAGAUCUCGAUUAUAGAUAAGAAUAUUUUUUUAUGAUAUAACUGGAUAGAAAACUUAUUUUAUAAAUUGAUUUUACAAGUUUUAGUUAAACUUAAAAUUUAUUUUUUAAUAAAAAUAAUACAUAAAUAAAUUUUACAGUAUAGUNNNNNNNNNNNNNNNNNNNNNNNNNNNNNNNNNNNNNNNNNNNNNNNNNNNNNNNNNNNNNNNNNNNNNNNNNNNNNNNNNNNNNNNNNNNNNNNNNNNNNNNNNNNNNNNNNNNNNNNNNNNNNNNNNNNNNNNNNNNNNNNNNNNNNNNNNNNNNNNNNNNNNNNNNNNNNNNNNNNNNNNNNNNNNNNNNNNNNNNNNNNNNNNNNNNNNNNNNNNNNNNNNNNNNNNNNNNNNNNNNNNNNNNNNNNNNNNNNNNNNNNNNNNNNNNNNNNNNNNNNNNNNNNNNNNNNNNNNNNNNNNNNNNNNNNNNNNNNNNNNNNNNNNNNNNNNNNNNNNNNNNNNNNNNNNNNNNNNNNNNNNNNNNNNNNNNNNNNNNNNNNNNNNNNNNNNNNNNNNNNNNNNNNNNNNNNNNNNNNNNNNNNNNNNNNNNNNNNNNNNNNNNNNNNNNNNNNNNNNNNNNNNNNNNNNNNNNNNNNNNNNNNNNNNNNNNNNNNNNNNNNNNNNNNNNNNNNNNNNNNNNNNNNNNNNNNNNNNNNNNNNNNNNNNNNNNNNNNNNNNNNNNNNNNNNNNNNNNNNUUUUCUAAGUGUAAAUUUUCUUUAAUUGACUUAAAGAUGCGUGUACUUUUUCUUCUUGAAAAGUAAAACAUUAUAUAUAAAAAUCGCUUCAUAUAAUUUGUUCAAAAUUUGAUGGUCCAGUGUGAACUGAUGCCAAAUGACCAAUAGCCAAUUGUUUGUUUGUGUUUUAGCAUAGAAUAAAAUUAGUAUUGCAAAUAAAAAAUGGAAAUAGAAAUAGAAAGUGUAUAAAUUUUUUUAUCAACAAAUAAUAAAUAAUAAUUUAUAUAUAUGAUAUUUGUAACUUAAUAAUUUAUUAAGUUGUAACGAACUAACUGAUACAUGCAAACGGAAACAGAUAAAACUGAUAUAGACGGUAGUUUUCAUUAACUAUAUAUCAAGAAAUGAUAUUAACUGAUAUAUCGUUUGUCAACUUUUAUCUUAAAUAUAUAAGUGGAAUAUAUCUAAGUCAAACAUAAAUCGAAAUUUAAAUUAAAUAUUUUGUAACACGAUACUUACGUUGAUUCUCCUAAUAUCAAAUUAAAUAAUUAUAAAUAAUCUAACAAAAAUUUAAUAAUAAGUGACAACAGUUUUAAUAAAUUUAAUUAGAAUAUAAUAAACCUCAUUCAAUACGAGAUAAAAUUUGAAUUUAUAUAUUAUGAUUUGAAUUUAUCAUUAGUUAAAUAUGGAAUCUCCAGUAAAAUAUAUUUUUUGAAAUAAGAUGUGUACUAUGUUUAAUAUAUAUAUAUAUAUAUAUAACAAAAUAUUUAUCACAAAAAUGUAGAAAUAUUUAUGAUUUCAACGGAAAUCUUGUUAUAAAUACAACUUUGAUUCAUUUUUCAAAUAGUUCUUAAUAUAUUAAUCAAAAUAUAUUUUAGUUUUUCAUAUAGAGUCUACAUUUUAUUUUAAUAAUAACAUAGGAGACAAAAUUGUAUUUUAAUAACAGAUACGAUUAAAUUGUAUUUUAAUUAUAAUAUAUAGAUAACUAUCUGAAAGGAAUGAAGGUGAAAGGUGAAAAAUAUUUUCAAAGUCUUUUAGUUUAUUUAAAUUUUAAUAUUAAAUUAUAAUCUCAAUAUAUUUUCAAGAAAUAAAAUAAUUAUUUUUAUCGAAAAUCAACUAUAACAAAAUUACACUUGUACCCUUUAGGUCAUAUGACACCAAAGUUGAUUUACCAAAAUCCAAUCUGGCAUAUUGAAGGUGGCACACGUCCAAUUUAAUAUCCUACUAUAUGCACACUCGUAUAACUGGAAAACAUGUGUUCGAAAGUCAAGUGAAAAAUUAUGUCGAAAAGUCGUAUAAUGAAUAAAUGACUUAUUUUCGUCCAAUUCAAAAGAAAAUAAAAAAUUGUAAAAUUUGAAAACUGAAACUUACAUUUUAAAAACUUAAUUCUUAAAUAUUUUAUUUUGAUGUAAUAUAUAUAUUAAAAAAUAUUAUAUUUUAAUUAUUUUAAACUAUAGUUAUUAUAUACUAAAAAUGGAUUGUUUAUGUCUAAAUUUAUUUUUAAAUUAAUAGACUAAAAUUAAUCCACUUCAAUUUAUAUCGACAUUUGAUAAUAUGAUCUAUUCUAUUUUGGAAGUUAUUUGCUCACUCGUCAACUUAAGUGUAUUUCACCUACUCUGCACAUUAAAUCUAUAAAUAUUAUUGAUUCCCAAAAAAACCAUAAGUAGUAUAUGGUAUGGGGUUGAGGGGUUGUUUCUGCUGGACCACUUUAGUAAGUUUUUUAUUAAAUUAAAGUAUUAUAUGUACAAUGUGUAUUGGUAUUCAAGUAUAUAAUUUAUAUUUAAUUUAUUUUUGCAAAAAAAAAUUAAGACAUACAACAUAUAUAUGGUUGAUUUUAGUGGUACAGUAUUCAGUUCCUUAAAUAAAGUUUCAAAUUUAAAUUUUGUAGAUAAAAAAAUAUGAUUAAUUAGAAAAGAAGAUUCCACAAAUUGUGAGUUAUGUACUCCAAUAUAUAUUAAUCAUCAAAGUGAAUGGAUAUUAACGUGAUCAAAUAUAUAAGAAAUAAAUAUAUUUAUUUUAACAAAUUAAAAGCAGAAAAUAAGUGGUAUAAAUAUAAUAUCGUACAACAUGAUCCACAUCUUAAUCUCAUAAAUUAUACUGUCUGGUCUAACAAAUGAAUCGGCGAAGAUAAAUGAACCGGAGAUGGUGAAGGAGAAGAUAAAAACGAUUUAGGCGGAAGUUGCAAUAACUCAACUCUGUUUUCUAACAUUUCCACCACACUACUUAUGGUUGGUCGAGUGGAGGGGUUGGUUUGUAUGCACCAUAAACCUAUCACAGCCAUUUUUCUCAUCGUUUUCUCAUCAAUUUCAUUUUUCACAAUCUCUAGAUCAAGUUCAUUAUUUGACUCAAGACGAUCAUAAAUCCAAUGAGGAAAAUAUAAUUCACUUGAACAAUCGACUUCAACUUCAAUAUUCUUUCUUCUUCCAACCAUUUCUAAGAUCAUCAUUCCAUAACUGUAAACAUCUGAUUUAUGUGAAACAACACCAAAAUUCCUGGAAAAAACUUCUGGAGCAAUAUAACCUACAGUUCCCCUUGCACCAGUAAUAGAUACCGCACUUUCUUUUUUUGGACAUAUUUUUGCUAGUCCAAAAUCUGAAAUUUUCGGACUAAAAUUCUCAUCUAGUAAUAUGUUGUGAGGUUUUAUGUCAAAAUGCAAGAUUUUGGUGUUGCAACCUCUAUGCAAGAUACUCUAAUCCACGAGCAAUGCCAAUCGCAAUAUUAUACAAUAUCUUGCAAUCCAAUUGAUGAGAAACCUGUAAUAAAUUUUUCUGUUCAUAUAUGAACUUGUUAAGAGAUCCAUUUAACAUAAACUCAUAUAUUAGAGCACGUUUAGAACCAUGAAAACAAAACUCCAGAAGUCUGACAAUAUUAACAUGUGAAGUUCUACUAAUACUUGCCACUUCAUUGAUAAAUUCUUGUCCAUUGCCUUUUGCUUCGACUAAAAUCUUGACUGCAACAACACUUCCAUCAUGCAACUUCCCUUUAUAUACGCUACCGAAGCCUCCUUGCCCUAACUUGUUUUUAAAAGAGUUGGUCAUUUUCUUAAUCUCUGAAUAAUUGUACCUAGUUAUAGGAAGAGGUCCUUGUUCCUUCAAAAACUCCUGAAUAACAUUAUUGGUUCGAUUCUCCCUCCAAAAUAAGAGAGAUGAGGGAAAGAUCUUUGUCCUAAACCACCAUACCAAGACCACCAGCACUACAAUUCCAACAACCCCCACUGUUGAAGCUGGAGAAUUUACAUAAUAUAAAAGGAAAAUGUUUAGGGUAACUAACAACCAAUACAUAAAUCUCUUUAAUACUUUGAUAGUUAUCUCAUGUAUUAUAAAAAAAAAAAUUAUAGAAUAAUUAAUUUUCAGACUCUAGUAACAAAAUAACGAAAUUGAAUUGAGUUUGUUUGUAUACCUAUUUUCACCAUUGUAGUCUUGUUCUUAUUGGUUAUUCCUGUGGUUAUCCCUGCAGAAGACAGAUAAAUAUCAAAAUGUUAAUGUUGGAUAUAUUAUUUAGGUUGUUAAUAUAUACUUUUUUUUUUCUUUUGAGUAUGUACUAAUUAGUAUUUAUUUUAAUUUAAGUCUUAAGAAUAUUUUUAAAUUUUCCCUUCUAUCAUUCAAUACUUUUAAUCAUAAAAUUAUCAAUAUAUUUUAUACCAUAUAACUACGCUUAUAUUAUUACAAAAAAAUUGAAAGAUAUCUUCCACAGAUAAGUUCCGGAAAAUGUUAUAUAAAUGUUAAGUUAGUGUUUGAUAUAUUUUUAUGAUAAUUGUUAGAUGGUAUUAUUAUGUAUGUCCUUCUCAUUAAUUUAGUCACAUUUUAUAUAUGUUAUUUAUAACAAUAACAAUAUUACUGUAUAAAUAGAUGAAUUGAUAUGGUAUUUUAUAAAAUACAUAAUUAUCUUCUUGAAUAGUUUUUUUUUAUAGUCUCGAAAGAACAAGAUGUUUCUUUUAUUUUUUUUAACAAUUUUUUAUAUCUAGUAGCCUUAGAGGAGGAAUGAAAUUUUGAUCAAACCCAUAUGAAAUUUUGACUAGAUAAAAAAUAAUGAAUAGCUCUGGCAGGAUUUUCAAGAAAUUCUUCGAUUUCUUCUAGAAGAAGAUGAUUCUCACGUUCCAUGAAUAGUUGGCACAUUGAGAAAUAUCCAAAAAGAAAUUUAAGGAAUCGCUAGUGACUUAUCAUCAUAAACUUUAUGUUUUUUUAAUUGUAGUUGAGUAAGAUUUUGCUGUGAAAGAGAAACUGUUAAUUUAGAGGACAAACUGUUUAAUUGUAGUUGGACAUUGCAUUCGAUCUCAAUUUAGAGGUCUAUAUCACCAUUAUGAUGUCAUGUCUGAGGAGGACAAAUUGAAAUGGUGAACUGACUUUCAGGUAAUUUUAAUUUUUGACAAACUACAAUCACUUGUUUUCUUGUUUUUCUUGUGCACUCAAAGUAACUAUUUUCUUCUUUUUAACAGACUAGAGUCACUUGGGCACCCCAUGAUGAAUGCCAAAUUAAAAAUGUCUACGAGUCUAAAGUCAAAAAAAGACUUUGUGACAUGUUGACCAAAGCUAAGGGCAAAGGCUGUCUGGCCUAUUUGGAUAGGUGAGCAAGCAUGGGCCGAACUUAUAAACUAUUGGAAUUCACAACAAUUCAAAGAUAAAUCAACUCAAAAUAAAGCCAAUAGGGGUUCAGCUCGUGGUGGAGCACUGGACUCCACAGGUCGAAAAUCACAUUCAGAUAUUGCAGUUACCUUGGUAAGUACUUGUCACUGCCUUACAUGAAAAUCAUUUUACAUUUGCAACCUAUAAUGCUUUUAAUUGUACAACAUUAUUAGGAACGUCAAUAUGGUUGUCCUCCAAAACCUGAUGAACUAUUUAGGGCCACCCACACAAAUAAGAAGGGUAAAUGGGUUGAUACUCGUGCUCGAGAAACUUAUGUAAGUUAAUCUUUUAACUUUUUUUAUAUUUAUAUUUUAAUUUUCUAACAUUUUCAUUUCGUAAUGAUCUGUGUAGGAAAACUAUCAUGAGCCCUUGAAUGCCCUUCAAGCAAAUAGUUCUUAGGACUCUAACACUGAUGUCCACCAACUUGAUCCUGCAACUAAGCUUCAAACAUGGAAGGAAGUUGCCGAAGGAAAGAGUAGAGGUCGGGUGUAUGGUACGGCAGACUUGGUUGCUAACUUCCGCCAAGGAGUCUCUUCUCUCACUCAAGCCUCUGCUUCCGACACUUCACAAUCUGGGCAUGUGAUUGAAAAUCAAAUGCUUCGUGCUGAACUUAGUAUGUGGAGUCAGAAGUAUGCACACUUGGAGGAUGAACUGAAGGUUAUAAAAGAUAAACUUAUCUCAAUGGAACGUGACAAAAAUGCUUCCAAUAGCACAACACAAUUCGAUCAUGAGUAUGAUCUAGAACAAGAUGAUCAACCUAUUCCUUAAAGUGCAUCCUAUAUUGUAAGUUUAACUAUUUGACAUUUUUAUUAUAUACUAAGUAUUUUAAUUAUUUCAUUUAUUUAUUUAUAUUGUUUAUAUUUUUUUACAGGUUUAUCACAUCACUAUGAGAUUCAUUUGCUACUUUUAGUUAAAUUUGUAAAGUACAAUUUUAAUUGCAAUAUUUUUUUAAAAUAUUCAUAUCAUUUUGAAUAUUUGAAUUGAUCAAAGAUUUUGUUUAACUAUUUGUAUUACUUUUGUACUUUGGAUGUGUUUGUGGAUGUAUUGUGAAUGAUAGUAAUUUGUCUGAAUGUGAUUUGGUUGGUAUUUAUUCUUUGGCUAUUUACAGGUAAACUGGCUAGAAAACAAAAUAAUUUUUUUUCUUCCCUUUAUGCACCGACCACUGGCCCACGCUAGCUGUUUUUUUAAUAUGCGUCGGCUUUUGCGUGGGCAUAUAUAUAUAUAUAUAUAUAUAUAUAUAUAUAUAUAUAUAUAUANNNNNNNNNNNNNNNNNNNNNNNNNNNNNNNNNNNNNNNNNNNNNNNNNNNNNNNNNNNNNNNNNNNNNNNNNNNNNNNNNNNNNNNNNNNNNNNNNNNNAUAACAUUUUUAAUAUAAUUGCAGAAUAAAAAAGUAUAACUAAACCAUAAUAUUAUAUAAAAAAUGUUUUCUCAUUUCUUUUGAUAAAAUAAUCUUUUGUUUACUUAUUUAUUUAUUGUUGGGUAUUAGUAAAAACUUUCACUUUACACUUUAAUAAAUUAAUAUUUUUUUAAAAUUUUAAAAUAUCAUUAUAUUAUUAUAAAUAAUGUUAGAUAUAUUUUUUUUUUAUUAUGGUGUCAAGAAAACUUUUCUCUUUAUUAUUUUCCGUUCUGCAUCAGAGAGGGUUGACAACAUUCAUCUUAGAACUUGGGAAAUUGAAAAUUAAAACUUUACAUAGUUGAAAAGCAGUUUAAAGAUUUGAAUGAAAGUCAUUCACAACUACUUUACAAUUUAAAAUAUUUAUUUGAACACGUCAAAUUACUACAUAUUUAAAUUAGGGCACGAUUGUCUAACUAAUGGGUCGGUCACUAUAUAUAUAUAUAUAUAUAUAUAUAUAUAUAUAUAUAUAUAUAUAUAUAUAUAUAUAUAUAUAUAUAUACAUACAUAUAUUAUUUUAUUUUUUUUCAUUUUCGUCGGCCAAGCAAACGCAUAGGCGAUAUUUAAAUUGUGGGUCGGUUUGGCCCACGCAUAAGUCGCCGCAUAUGCGUCCAUUUUGCGUCCACCCAGAUUUUGCGUGUUGCGUCCAUUUUGUGUGGGCUUGCCCCACGCAACAUGCGUCCAACUUGUUGGCUCACGCUAGUUUCCAUUUGCUUACAAGGUUUUUUCGUCGGAACUGUAGCCGACAAAAUUUCAACACAUAAGCGUCCGUUUUUUGCCUUUUACGUCCGUUUUUGACCCACGCAAAAUCGUUGUAUUCUUGUUGUGCUGUGAGAGAUUGAGAGAGUGACUUCACAUUGUUUGUUCUGUGGUGAAUUUAAAAGAAGUAAUUCCUUACAAAUUUAAUAUUAAAAUUUACUCAACUCAAAACUUAAAAUUAUUGGACAUAUUAAACGGUUGCUUUAGCUCACAUGUUUAAUAACCAAUUGACUUAAAAACAUAAAAAAAAAAAUAUUUUGUACUCCUCAUCUCAAAUAUAACAGAGGUUGAGUUCUCUCGUAUGUAUGAUUGGUUACUGUGCGAAAAUAAAAGUGUUGAAGAGUGAAUGAACCUAAUACGUAUUUUUUUCACCCACUUUUAUAUUAGUCUUUAAAUUCUAUUUUCAUUUAUAUUUUAUUUCCUUCCCCGAACACCUUUAACUUCUACUUUAUUAUUUAUUUAUUUUUAUCCUCCUUUCUUACAAACUUUUAUUUUCCUUCAACAAGUGUGUAGAAUCAUAAUUGCCAUAAAUACAUGUGAGGUCAUGGGUUGAUGAUUGAGGGGUUAUGAGGUUAUGGGUCGAUCACUGAGGGGAUGCGAGGUCAUGGGCCGAUUCAAUUAAUAUAUUAUAACAUUCUCAUCCAAGAAAUUAAUGACAAUAUCCGCAAAAUCUUCAUAAAGAAUAAAGUGUGAAAUUAGCGGAGGUGGGGUUACGAGAAUUUAUGAAGGAAUUAAGUCAUGAAAGAGAACAAUUACUAAGAAGGGCAGGGGAAAAGUUUUCUAUAAGAAAAAAGGGAGGUCGAACAGGAAAGGGGACCAAAAAUGGGAAACCACUGUUUUCGAAUACCUUUGAUGCUCUAGCUAAGGGUCAUCUGUCUUGGCUAGAACAUUUUCGCGCCCACCAUGGGACAUGUAAAAUUAUCAUGCACCAUUCUUAGUAAUGCAAAUGAUAGGAAGGACUAUGACACAAAAGAAAGGGGAGAUAAUACGUCUAAUCUUGGAUGAGAAAUAUCGCAAAGCUUCAUGUUUAAGUUAUGUACUUUUUUUAUUAUAGAUUUUUACAUUUUGUUUUUAUAAGGUUUUUAAUGUGGCAUAAUGAAAGUAAUUAUCAUUUGUUUAUCAUGUGUUGUUAACAUUUUCAGUGAAACCAUAUCGCAUUGGUGGAGGAGUAAGAAGGGAAGCAUAUCGUUUGGGAAUUUGGAGGUUGUGGUAUCAUGAGCCGAACUUGAUAUUGUCAUGAACAGAUUAGGAGGAGCCCCCCUCGUUUCCUGAAGGUUGAAUCACUAGAGCUUGAGGGGAGACCAUUAGGAGCUCAUCCAAAUUCCGACCAACCUCGAGUUGGUAAGAACACCUUACAUGAAGAAAAACCUAUUAAGAAGACCAUGCAAUGUAUGAUGAGAUAUCCUCAUUUUGACUGGGUAAGAAACCGAUAUUGUUCGGUUACAAUAUCAAAAUCAUUAAGAAGAUCAUGCACUGCAUGAUGAGAUCUCUUCAGUUUAACUGAGUGGGAUACCGAUCUUGUUCAGUUAAAAUAUUAAUUAUUAAGAAGGUCAUGCAUUGCAUGACGAAACCUCACCGGUCUUAAUUGGGUGGGGUGCCGACAUCGCUCGGUCCAAUUUGUGAAGGAAAUGCCGAUCUCACUCAAUCCAAUUGGUAAGUUUUAAAUCAUAUCUAUACCAGGUAAAGGAAAUGUCGACUUUUCUUGGUGCGGUUUGUGAGGGAAAUUCCCAUCUCACUCGGUCUAGUUUGUAAGUUUUAAAUCAUAUUUAUAGUAGGUAAAGGAAAUGCUGACCUAUCAGGUGGAAGAAAUGUCGACCUCGCUUGGUCAAGUUUGUAAGUUUUAAAUCAUAUAUAUAAAAGGGUUAAACACGUGGAUGAAGGCAGCAAAAAUAAUGGUCGAUGGGAUGUGUUCAAAGAUAAUAAUAGGGUGUGAACAUCAAGAAGUGCUUGCAUAAGAAAGUCCAGUAGCAUUUGUGCCAUCAUUGAGCCGAUCUCACUGCAUGGGCGAUAAAAGGGGCUGAUAUCAAAAGCUUAUUAAGCCUCAUUGGCUUAUGCCUGAGGUUAAGGGGUUGUAGGUCAUGGGCCGAUCAAGAUGAGGCUGAGGGAAGCAUAAGCCGAUCAUGCUAGAAGGACGUGUUGAAGGCCUGUUUAGCCUCAUUGGCUCAUGUUUGAGGCUGAGGGGCUGUGAGGUCAUGGGCUAAUUACUCAGGGGCUGUGAGGUCAUGGGUUGAUUACUCAGGGGUUGUGAGGUCAUGGGCUGAUUGCUCAGGGGCUGAGGUCAUGGGCCGAUCACUCAGGGGUCGUGAGGUCAUGGGCCGAUCAUUCAGGGGCUGUGAGGUCAUGGGCCGAUCACUCCGGGACUAUGAAGUUACGGGUCGAUCACUGAGGAACUGUGAGGUCAUGGGCCGAUCCAAUUAAUAUAUUAUAACAGUUUAAUCCAAGAAAUUAAUGACGAUACCCGCAGAAUCUUCAUAAAGAAUAAAAUGUGAAAUUAGCGAAGGUGUGGGGUUACGAGAAUUUAUGAAGGAAUUAAGUCAUGAAAGAGAACAAUUACAAAAAAAAAAGGACAAGAGAAAAGUUUUCUAUAAAAAAGGAGGGAGGACCAGGAAAGGGGACAAAAAUGGAAAACCAUUGUUUUCGAAUACCUUUGAUGCUCUAGCUAAAGUUCCUUUAUUGUCUGUCUUGGCUAGAACAAUACCUCCUAAUUCUCUUAAUUGUUAAAGUCAUGUUCAAGCAAUCCCUCGUAAUACUCAUACAUUAAUCCUAUUAGCGAUUCUAACCAUCCAGUCAUUACAAUUAUGCAGUUUGAGUAAAGCUAGCAUAUUGUCCGUAUUUAGUUGGAAUCUCUUUCAAUCAAAUAAAUGGCAUCCACUCACUCUAAUUCACAGUAAAAAUAAUUUGGAAAAGUGCAAAAGGUUAAGCAAGAGAAAAAGAGUGACUGACCUGGAUCAUCCGCACAUCUGGCAGAAUGAAUUCUGUCAGUGCAAUAACACCUGAAAGUGAACAUAGCUGAAUCGAAACCGCACCUCCCUCCGCUGCUGUUGCAGAGGGUGCAGUUACCCGCAGUCCACGACAGCAAGAACCCUUUUCUCAAAGCUUCACCAACCCCUUCUAAUCCAUCUUCCACCACCGUAUCCACCACCUCACCCUUGCAAUUCUUUGCCACCAAGCUUAUAUUUUUAUCCCUUUUAUCCAAUGCCAAAACCGAACUCGUUUCGUUUUCUGCAGAACACCCAACUCUCUGCUCGUCAAGCGAAGGUGCGUCACAGCCGUAGAACAAUACCACAUCCAUUUGAUUCGGAGCAACACGUAACACGUUAGUAGGAGGAAGAGUGAGAUUCUGAGUUGGAGCAAGACAAGCUUUGGUGGUGUUUGAUUGCAAG
rnacentral:lncRNA from 1 species